GUUCCCCCUUCAGCAGCCCGUGUACUAAAAUUGGAACAAUACACACAAGAUUAGCAUAGGCCUUCUGUAAGCAUGACAUGCUAGAAUACUUAGAAACUCAAUAUAGAA
rnacentral:snRNA from 1 species